rnacentral:lncRNA from 1 species
AAUUCGCAAUGCAGCAUAUAAUCAGGAACAGGGGUUGGGAGCUCUCCGCUCAUGGAUCAACAGCAUCCAUCCCAACCCAACACGACGAGACGAGAAAGCACCAGCAGCAAACACGAGGGGCGGCACGGACGGUGGAAAACGUACCCCGAUGUAGCGGUCGCCGGCCGGUGGGGUCGAGACCUCGUCGACGCCGGGGUCGUCUUCCUCCUCGUCGGGCGGCUCCGCUUGCCCUUCGCCUGCGGCCUCCGGAUCGGGAGCCAUCGCGCCAGUCGCUCUCCUUCUCGAUCUCUUCCUCCGCAACCGCCGCCGCCUCCUCUCCGCCUGUGAGAUCAGGAUUCGAGUAGGCAGUGGAUGGACAUACCCUAGCUGAAUCGAGCAGCGCGAGCGAGGAGUCUCGAAACGCUUUCCAAGUUCCGCGGGUGUUUU